ensembl:lncRNA
CUAAUAGUGAGCUGCUGUGGUUCAUGGUCUGGCUGGGUGUCACCAUCAUAGGACAGCCCUUGCACUGCCUGGGAAUGUACCUUGGGCUGAGCCAAUCCUUCGUUCUGCUUGGGGAAGAAUAACAGCCGGGUUUCUCCAUAAAACAAACAUUCCUGAUGGAAUACAAAGUGCCAGAGGAUACUGAAAACAUUGCCAAAUGUUGAAGUGACCAAGAGGCACACUAACAAGGAUGACUACUGAUGGCUCCACAGCUUCCUUGAAGCCUUGGAAUAAUGCAGACUGUCACAUAAGUUUAAAGAGGUGGCUGUUUUUUUCAAAUGUAAAACGCCACAGAACUCAUUAAAAAAAAUUUACUAAGAGAUUUUUUUUCAAGUCCUGCAAAUUUUGAAGUUAUAUUAAAAU